GCCCAGCCAGCUCAGUCAGUCGGUAGAGCGUGUGACUCUGGAUCUCAGGGUUGUGAGUUCGAGCCCCACGUUGGGGG
rnacentral:tRNA from 1 species